rnacentral:rRNA from 1 species
AUUGAACGCUGGCGGCAUGCCUUACACAUGCAAGUCGAACGGUAACAGGUCUUCUGAUGCUGACGAGUGGCGAACGGGUGAGUAAUACAUCGGAACGUGCCCGAUCGUGGGGGAUAACGAGGCGAAAGCUUUGCUAAUACCGCAUACGAUCUACGGAUGAAAGCGGGGGAUCUUCGGACCUCGCGCGGACGGAGCGGCCGAUGGCAGAUUAGGUAGUUGGUGGGAUAAAAGCUUACCAAGCCGACGAUCUGUAGCUGGUCUGAGAGGAUGAUCGGCCACACUGGGACUGAGACACGGCCCAGACUCCUGCGGGAGGCAGCAGUGGGGAAUUUUGGACAAUGGGCGAAAGCCUGAUCCAGCCAUGCCGCGUGCAGGAUGAAGGCCUUUGGGUUGUAAACUGCUUUUGUACGGAACGAAAAGCCUCUUUCUAAUAAAGAGGGGUCAUGACGGUACCGGAAGAAUAAGCACCGGCUAACUACGUG